UACGUAGGGUGCGAGCGUUGUCCGGAAUUAUUGGGCGUAAAGAGCUCGUAGGCGGCUUGUCGCGUCGAAUGUGAAAACUCGGGGCUCAACUCCGAGCUUGCAUUCGAUACGGGCAGGCUAGAGUUCGGUAGGGGAGACUGGAAUUUACGGUGUAGCGGUGAAAUGCGUAGAUAUCGUAAGGAACACCAGCGGCGAAGGCGACUUCUGGCUGCUAACUGACGCUGAGACGCGAAAGCUAGGGGAGCGAACGGG
rnacentral:rRNA from 1 species